CAGCCGCCGCGGGAAUACGGAGGGUGCAAGCGUUAAUCGGAAUUACUGGGCGUAAAGCGCACGCAGGCGGUUAUAUAAGACAGAUGUGAAAUCCCCGGGCUCAACCUGGGAACUGCAUUUGUGACUGUAUAGCUAGAGUACGGCAGAGGGGGAUGGAAUUCCGCGUGUAGCAGUGAAAUGCGUAGAUAUGCUGAGGAACACCGAUGGCGAAGGCAAUCCCCUGGGCCUGUACUGACGCUCAUGCACGAAAGCGUGGGGAGCAAACAGGAUUAGAUACCCGUGUAGUCCCUGUCUCUUAUAC
rnacentral:rRNA from 1 species